GACUGAACAUGCAGUGAGACUUCCAAUAGUGUACCAGUCGUCACUAAAAUGUUUAAACUUUGCAUAAUCUUGGUUCUUGCCGCAUCCGUACAGGCAUGUCUCUAUAAUUGCGCAGGAAAAAGAUGAAACCCUACUUUGUGCCGCCGCUCGGCCUUAUUGCUAUUUAUUGUCUCAAUGUGAAAUAGAUGGACAGAAUUGUAAUCGUGAGAUGUUGGGACAACCAAAGCUUGUGGUUGCACCUUCAUAUCAAUGUAGGGGAUUGGGGCGGAGUGCAACUAGUGGUAUUUGUAAUGUGCGCUAAAAAUACUUAUUUAAUGGAAAAGAAAUAUUCUAACUUUGACAGUUGUUAAUAAAAAUUAAUAAAAUAAAGUUAAUGUCCAAUUUCA